rnacentral:rRNA from 1 species
UGGGGAAUAUUGGACAAUGGGCGAAAGCCUGAUCCAGCCAUGCCGCGUGUGUGAAGAAGGCCUUUUGGUUGUAAAGCACUUUAAGCGAGGAGGAGGCUACUUAGAUUAAUACUCUAGGAUAGUGGACGUUACUCGCAGAAUAAGCACCGGCUAACUCUGUGCCAGCAGCCGCGGUAAUACAGAGGGUGCGAGCGUUAAUCGGAUUUACUGGGCGUAAAGCGUGCGUAGGCGGCUUUUUAAGUCGGAUGUGAAAUCCCUGAGCUUAACUUAGGAAUUGCAUUAGAUACUGGGAAGCUAGAGUAUGGGAGAGGAUGGGAGAAUUCCAGGUGUAGCGGUGAAAUGCGUAGAGAUCUGGAGGAAUACCGAUGGCGAAGGCAGCCAUCUGGCCUAAUACUGACGCUGAGGUACGAAAGCAUGGGGAGCAAACAGG